GCAUGCCUUUAAAAAAAAUUGUCACUAUAAGCUGUACCUUUAUCUUAAAUUAAAAACUUCAGGCAAGAUAAAUCUUCACUGCUAACUCCAGUCCAAUUGAUCCACAAAAGCUUAUAACAUAAAAUUCAAGUCCUUUGUGGCGCUCUGCCUAUGCAAUCUAGGUAUUCUCAUUGUUGUCAGCUUGAUAAAAGGCUCAGAAGACAAGCAAAAUAGAAAUAUUCUCAUCCUCGUUGAAAUUCUUAAAGAAAAUGGUUCCAGUUAAUCACCCCACCUUUUACACCAUGUAGUCUCCCACCAAAGCCUACUUGUUGAACACCACAUUGUAAAGUGAAGGGUAGGCUCCCAUAAGAGUACUAUCAUCCCCCACCAUGAUGUCUUCCCAAUAUCAAGUAUUAAGCCAUCUCAACCUUGACUUAUAAAAAAUAAAAAAGGGAGUCAAACUAACUCAAUCCUAAAGCUGCCCACAUGCCAAUGCCGUCAGACAUCUUAGGGCACCAUCAUCCAAUAUGACACCCAAUAUAUUGAGCAUCUUUUCGAAAUCUUCAACAUGUAUUUUGUUUUGAAACAUA
rnacentral:misc_RNA from 1 species